AUGAAAAUGAGAAAAGGAAGAAAGGUGAUGCCUGGGAAGGUCGGAUUCGGCCGUCGCUGCAGUCCACGCACGACAACAAGUUCCGAAGAGAGAUUUCAGAGAAAGACAGUGAGGGUCAAUGCCUGUAUGACGGUAGAGUGGCUGCCCUACACCGCGUCCCAGCGGGAGCUCCUCCAGGGACAUGAGUUUGUCGAAGGGGGAUUUCUGUGCUGCGGCUCACGUGGUGAUGUCCAGAACAUACAUGGAAUCACAUCUGAACUUCCACGCCCGAAUUGCUCGCUCCACAAGUCGUCGGUGGAAUGGAAGGGGCGGCUCUAG
rnacentral:rRNA from 1 species